rnacentral:rRNA from 1 species
UACAGAGGUCUCAAGCGUUGUUCGGAUUCAUUGGGCGUAAAGGGUGCGUAGGCGGCGCGGUAAGUCGGGUGUGAAAUUUCGGGGCUUAACUCCGAAACUGCAUUCGAUACUGCCGUGCUUGAGGACUGGAGAGGAGACUGGAAUUUACGGUGUAGCGGUGAAAUGCGUAGAUAUCGUAAGGAACACCAGCGGCGAAGGCGCUGCUCUGGGCCGGUACUGACGCUGAGGAGCGAAAGCGUGGGGAGCGAACAGG